rnacentral:rRNA from 1 species
CCUACGGGAGGCAGCAGUGGGGAAUAUUGCACAAUGGGGGGAACCCUGAUCCAGCGACGCCGCGUGAGUGAAGAAGUAAUUCGGUACGUAAAGCUCUAUCAGCAGGGAAGAAAAUGACGGUACCUGACUAAGAAGCCCCGGCUAACUACGUGCCAGCAGCCGCGGUAAUACGUAGGGGGCAAGCGUUAUCCGGAUUUACUGGGUGUAAAGGGAGCGUAGACGGUGCGGCAAGUCUGGAGUGAAAGGUCGGGGCUGAACUGCGGGACUGCAUUGGAAACUGGUGAACUGGAGUGCAGGAGAGGUAAGCGGAAUUCCUAGUGUAGCGGUGAAAUGCGUAGAUAUUAGGAGGAACACCAGUGGCGAAGGCGGCUUACUGGACUGUAACUGACGUUGAGGCUCGAAAGCGUGGGGAGCAAACAGGAUUAGAUACCCGAGUAGUC